rnacentral:rRNA from 1 species
UGGGUUAGUCGGGUCCUAAGCUGAGGCCGACAGGCGUAGGCGAUGGAUAACAGGUUGAUAUUCCUGUACCACCUAUAAUCGUUUUAAUCGAUGGGGGGACGCAGUAGGAUAGGCGAAGCGUGCGAUUGGAUUGCACGUCUAAGCAGUAAGGCUGAGUAUUAGGCAAAUCCGGUACUCGUUAAGGCUGAGCUGUGAUGGGGAGAAGACAUUGUGUCUUCGAGUCGUUGAUUUCACACUGCCGAGAAAAGCCUCUAGAUAGAAAAUAGGGGCCCGUACCGCAAACCGACACAGGUAGUCAAGAUGAGAAUUCUAAGGUGAGCGAGCGAACUCUCGUUAAGGAACUCGGCAAAAUGACCCCGUAACUUCGGGAGAAGGGGUGCUCUUUAGGGUUAACGCCCAGAAGAGCCGCAGUGAAUAGGCCCAAGCGACUGUUUAUCAAAAACACAGGUCUCUGCUAAACCGUAAGGUGAUGUAUAGGGGCUGACGCCUGCCCGGUGCUGGAAGGUUAAGAGGAGUGGUUAGCUUCUGCGAAGCUACGAAUCGAAGCCCCAGUAAACGGCGGCCGUAACUAUAACGGUCCUAAGGUAGCGAAAUUCCUUGUCGGGUAAGUUCCGACCCGCACGAAAGGCGUAACGAUUUGGGCACUGUCUCAACGAGAGACUCGGUGAAAUCAUAGUACCUGUGAAGAUGCAGGUUACCCGCGACAGGACGGAAAGACCCCGUGGAGCUUUACUGUAGCCUGAUAUUGAAAUUCGGCACAGCUUGUACAGGAUAGGUAGGAGCCUUUGAAACGUGAGCGCUAGCUUACGUGGAGGCGCUGGUGGGAUACUACCCUAGCUGUGUUGGCUUUCUAACCCGCACCACUUAUCGUGGUGGGAGACAGUGUCAGGCGGGCAGUUUGACUGGGGCGGUCGCCUCCUAAAAGGUAACGGAGGCGCUCAAAGGUUCCCUCAGAAUGGUUGGAAAUCAUUCAUAGAGUGUAAAGGCAUAAGGGAGCUUGACUGCGAGACCUACAAGUCGAGCAGGGUCGAAAGACGGACUUAGUGAUCCGGUGGUUCCGCAUGGAAGGGCCAUCGCUCAACGGAUAAAAGCUACCCCGGGGAUAACAGGCUUAUCUCCCCCAAGAGUUCACAUCGACGGGGAGGUUUGGCACCUCGAUGUCGGCUCAUCGCAUCCUGGGGCUGUAGUCGGUCCCAAGGGUUGGGCUGUUCGCCCAUUAAAGCGGUACGCGAGCUGGGUUCAGAACGUCGUGAGACAGUUCGGUCCCUAUCCGUCGUGGGCGUAGGAAAUUUGAGAGGAGCUGUCCUUAGUACGAGAGGACCGGGAUGGACAUACCUCUGGUGUACCAGUUGUCGUGCCAACGGCAUAGCUGGGUAGCUAUGUGUGGACGGGAUAAGUGCUGAAAGCAUCUAAGCAUGAAGCCCCCC